rnacentral:rRNA from 1 species
UACGUAGGGGGCAAGCGUUGUCCGGAUUUAUUGGGCGUAAAGAGCGUGUAGGCGGCCAUACAGGUCCGUUGUGAAAACUGGAGGCUUAACCUCCAGACGUCGAUGGAAACCGUAUGGCUAGAGUCCGGAAGAGGAGAGUGGAAUUCCUGGUGUAGCGGUGAAAUGCGCAGAUAUCAGGAAGAACACCUGUGGUGUAGACGGCUCUCUGGACCGCAACUGACGCUGAGACACGAAAGCGUGGGUAGCAAACAGG